rnacentral:lncRNA from 1 species
GGGGUUCUCUCCUGCCCCCAAGCUGGUGGAAUCCCCCAAAGAAGGUAAAGGGAGCAAGCCUUCCCCACUGUCUGUGAAGAACACCAAGAGGAGGCUGGAGGGCGCCAAGAAAGCCAAGGCGGACAGCCCCGUGAACGGCUUGCCAAAGGGGCGAGAGAGUCGGAGUCGGAGCCGGAGCCGUGAGCAGAGCUACUCGAGGUCCCCAUCCCGAUCAGCGUCUCCUAAGAGGAGGAAAAGUGACAGCGGCUCCACAUCUGGUGGGUCCAAGUCGCAGAGCCGCUCCCGGAGCAGGAGUGACUCCCCACCGAGACAGGCCCCCCGCAGCGCUCCCUACAAAGGCUCUGAGAUUCGGGGCUCCCGGAAGUCCAAGGACUGCAAGUACCCCCAGAAGCCACACAAGUCUCGGAGCCGGAGUUCUUCCCGUUCUCGAAGCAGGUCACGGGAGCGGGCGGAUAAUCCGGGAAAAUACAAGAAGAAAAGUCAUUACUACAGAGAUCAGCGACGAGAGCGCUCGAGGUCGUAUGAACGCACAGGCCGUCGCUAUGAGCGGGACCACCCUGGGCACAGCAGGCAUCGGAGGUGAGGCGGGGUUGCAGUGACUGGUGGCCGCAAGCCCUUCCCUGGGGAGUACCUGAUGGCUGCCCUUUGACCCCCGGUGGCUGCCCUUUGACCCCCGGGUGUGCUCUCAGCGCAAGUGGUCCUAGAACAGGAUUCUUUUUGGAAAUGUCUGUCGACUGGACCUUGGUGGAUUUGGAAAUGGAACUGAGGGACCGGUGACACGUGCUUCAGACCGGUCUGGGGUGCGGCGCACACCUGGGCCCGUGCAGGGCUCAGCUCGGCAGCAGCUCUGAGGGCAGCUCAAUGAAAAAGUGAAUGCACACGCCCUUGUUGGCGUGGCCUGGCAUGGCCUGGUGCUAUCGGCAGCCGCUCUCCACUCCCCGACUGAUACUCAAUUACGUGAAGCCAAGAAAGAUGAUUUUUAGAACCUUUGCCUAUAUUAGGUUGUACUUAUGUACAUAUUUUGCAGUGUUUCACAGGAGAAAGUGGCCUUAACUGCCCCUUAUUCUCUCUCCACGUUGUAAAUAAACAUGUGUUUAAUACAAGUUAAAGCUAUGUAUGAAAACUCAGAACUUGAAUCCCGUCAGCUUAAAACUUGUGUAGGGAAUCCUGACUUUUAAAAUGUGAGGGUAUUUGGAUCUGUGUUGAAAGUCGUAUAUUUUUAUCUGUGCGGUGCUGAGUGCAGGCCACCAGCUCCUAAAUAGAGGUUCCCUAUAUGCGCGUAUGACAUGGUGAAUAAACACAACUCUCUC